AGGGUGACAGCUCAGUGGUAGAGCACAUGCUUAGCAUGCACAGUCCUGGGUUCCAACCCCAGUAGCCCCA
rnacentral:tRNA from 1 species